UCUCUCUGCCCCUCCGCUGCUUACAUUCUCUCUCCCUCAAAAGUAAGCAUUUAAAAAAAAAAAAAGUGAUCAUAAGCUAAUAGUGCAGUAAAAGUUGCAGUCAACCUGACAUGAGCUGUGAAUGUGCCAACGCCAGUUACUAUGGACUGUCUGUCCGGGAAUUAAAGUGAGAGACUCGGCUUUUUUUUACCUCCAACAUUUCUCUAUUUGUGUAACACAGAGUUGGGCCCAUAGUAGGCCUUUAAUUUUGGUUUGGAUUCACGUUUGCUAGUUUGCUGAAUAUGAUCACAACAUUUGAAGGCCCAUGAGGGUUGGAAGGGAGGGAGAGACAGAAGUAAACUUUUUUUUUUUUCCCCUCAAAAAUCAUGUGUUAUGUAAUAAUUUUAGAGUGAUGAAGACAUAGAUAUUUUUAUGAUUUUAAAAUAUGUUAUCCUGCCAGAGUAUGAGAAGAUUGACAGAACCAGUUUGCUUUCUCUCUAUUUAUAGAACUUGGCCACAUCUAAUUCAGAGAAGCUAGAGAUUGAGGGACGCUAGACUUGGACGGCUGAGUAAUAGGGGAUGUGGUUCAAGGACCAUGGAGCAUGUCAGGCCGUUAACUGCAAACUACUUGUAACGCGUGAAAGGUGAUAUAUGGCUAACUUCCUGCUCCCGCGGCGGAGAGGUGGGAGUGAACAUCUUCGCUGUGGCUGACCGGAUUCCCUUACCUUAGGCCAGUUUCUUGACAAUGGCCAUCGAGAGAGCGCGUGGAGUGCCCCUUGCUCUGCGCCGGCCUGCCAUGGAGAAGCAGCCUUAAAAGAAUCACUGGCUAAGGGUAACAUGAGAGCUCGAGGAGCUAUUCUGAGCGCCUGCUGAGGCAAAGCUAAAUUUAGCAAACAUGUGUCUAGCGUGGUCAGAGGUUCUGCUUCAUUGAACGUCCUGAUUGACGGAGACAGAGUUGCAGAGAAUUCUGUAACCAGUGCAAGUCGUCCUUCACCCCCACCCCAGAUUUUAAAGCAGUCAGGCAAUUUAGGUAUGGCAUUCUGUCAUUAAAGACCACAUCUUACCGGAGGACUCUAGGCAGAGAAAGUGAAAAGUCUGGUCAAGCGUACCACCUUCCUGCAGGACCGGUUACAAAACACCCAGACGGUCAACUCUCCCAGAAUCGGUAGGCCUCGUAAAAGCAGCAGGCUGAGCGUGCAGGGCAAAGUUCACGUUUUGAUUUAGAUUCCACUCAGGGUUUAGGGUAGCGGUCCAUCUUUGCGUCUCUGGCAUUGAAGCUGUUGCCGAAAAGGUCGUGGAAAUGCUCAGUUUCUUAUCUUUGGCACCACCUACGUCAUAAACAUCACGAGUCUUGCUCUUAGUGUAGAUGUCUUUAUUCUGAGUUUGUGUGUUUGUAGCACUAAAGCCAAGUUCUUCUAGAAUAGGAACAGUCUUGCUCUGUUCUGAGGUGUUUCUCUGAUGUGCAUGCAGAGCGAGGGAUUGACAAGAGGGAACGGCAACAAACGUGGGCCUUUUGUCGGAACACUCCUGAGCCCUGUUCCAGCUUUUAAUGAUUUGUGGUUCUACCUUGUUUCCUGUUGGAAAAGUAUGGAUUCAGAACCUGGACCCAGUGACCAUUACUGCAUCUUUGGAACACAGGUCUGGGAGGAAAAAGAUAUUUUGUGUCUAUCUGUUGAUGGGUUCAAACCCUCUCUCCCCACAAGCACAAAUCUGGGAAGCAGUGACAGGUCACAUAAAGCUUUUCGUCUUUGCCUCUCCCUUUUCUCUGAUCAACCAGGUGGCUUUAGUGCUACAAAAAUGUGGACUAAGGGAGGCCUGGGGUAGGAACUUUAUAGAAACAGUUCAGUUUGAGAGAGAGAACCUUCUCUUCAUCCGAAGCCCAAGGACACGGUCUGUGCCAAUCCAGCCGCUCUGGGGAACUCUCAGGAUGUCGCCAGUGGUGAAGUUAGAAGGCUUCAGAGUCAGAGUUGAGGAAGAGCAGCUGGCCCCUGUUCCUUUACCCAGGCGCUGACCGAGUCCUCGGAGCUGGAAGGGGUGAAAACCUUUACGAACCUAAAACUACUUCCACGCCUGGGGGAGGAUUCAUCUGGUGGCAUCUAGGCCUUCUGCGUACAGAGGAAAUGAGGGCCAGGGACCAACGCAGCGAUCGGACUGUGUGUUGCUCAGGUGGGGGAAGCGAGGGAGAGGCCCCCGCUGGGCCAACCCAGGGGCUCCUGCUGGCCCUCCACGCACGUCACCCUCGGUGAGUGGAGGAGGGCCACCAGGGAGCACGAGAGGCUUUGGCAGAAAGAAGAGGGGCUCGAGCCAUUGUUGACGUUGGAGGGCUCGCUUUCCAAUCUUUUCCCCACCCUGCAAGAAUGAGACAGAGCUCCAGGCAUGGGAGCUUUUCGAUGAAAAGUUUAUUAGAAGGGUACUUACAGGGGAAAGAGAGGACACAGAUCUUUAACAAGAGGGGUACAAUGCUUAAACAGGUGCUCUGCUCUUAAGAUACAAAAGUUAGAAAAAUCUAAAA